GUGGCGUCAAUGCGGCCGCUGUGUCCAUGGAGAGAGGCUAAGGUGGCCGAGUUCCGGCCCGAGGCACCGGGGAGCCGGGACGGCGAGGAUGUCGGCUUCGUUAGUCCGGGCCACUGUCCGGGCUGUGAGCAAGAGGAAGCUGCAGCCCACUCGGGCCGCCCUCACCCUGACACCUUCAGCAGUAAACAAGAUAAAACAGCUUCUUAAAGAUAAGCCUGAACACGUAGGUCUGAAAGUUGGUGUCCGAACCAGGGGUUGUAAUGGCCUUUCUUAUACUCUAGAAUAUACAAAGACAAAAGGAGAUUCUGAUGAAGAAGUUGUUCAAGACGGAGUCAGAGUGUUCAUCGAGAAGAAAGCACAACUGACACUUUUAGGAACAGAAAUGGACUAUGUUGAAGAUAAGUUAUCCAGUGAGUUUGUUUUCAAUAACCCAAACAUCAAAGGAACGUGUGGCUGUGGAGAAAGCUUUAAUAUUUGACUGCUCUGGCUGUGACCUCCGGGAACACUCAUGGAAGUCCUAGGGCUUACUGAAGAAAUGAUGUGACUGUCGCGUGCUGAAAGGUUAUAAUGUAUGACUGCCUUAUGAGAAAAAUAAAAUGAUGCAUUUUGAAAGUGAAGCCAGUGUAUUAGAUUCCUAAAGAAGUGAUAUUUGUAUUAUUUUUAAAGGGCAGAAGAUGAGAAGCCAUUAUUCUCUUUGAGUCAUUUUCCUGAUCUAUAAAGAAAAAAAAUCCUAUCCUGCACUUCCUUGUCUUCAUCCUUUUUAUUAGAACCAGUUUCAUGAAAGUCGCCUUCCUGGGAGGAUUUCAGGAAACAUACUUGAUACACGUGCACUGCAUAGAUCUCCAUUGAAUGGUGCGAAUGUGCAUUUACCAACCAGAUUGAUGGCUCUUAAAGUUCAGAGGCGGAAGAUCCUGACUGCUGGCGGGACGCGGGAGUGCACUGUUUUUUCUACCCAAACUUGGUAGAGCGUUUCUACAUUUUUGUCCCAAAUUUCAUUGUCAGAUGCCUCAUUUGCUUUACCCCUUAGCAGCAGCUGACAGACGAAAGUAUCGAGCAAAGGUUUCCUUGAACUGCAGUGCAGAAAGGUUCUGAGCAGUGUCAUCUAAAGUGUUCCUUUUGUCAUUUAGUGAUUUUCCUGGGUUUGACAUACUAAGUGUUCUACAACACUUGCUUUUUUUGAAAGCCGUUCUCAUGAGGUAGCUGUCACACUUCUGUCCGUCCUGCUUACUGAAGUACCCGGCACGGAAUGCACCAAAGCCUAGCACGGUGGCUCUGUAGGUGCUUGCGAGUUCGUAUUGUUAAUACACUUGUCAGUCCACCUGUCAUUUGUGCAAUACUGUACGUGUGUAGAGAAUGAAUUGUCAAUAAAAAAGAACGUGGCCUCU